rnacentral:rRNA from 1 species
UACGCAGGGGGCUAGCGUUGUUCGGAAUUACUGGGCGUAAAGGGCGCGUAGGCGGUCCUUCAAGUCAGGCGUGAAGGCCCCGGGCUCAACCUGGGAACCGCGCUUGAGACUGGCGGGCUAGAGUUCGGGAGAGGAUGGUGGAAUUCCCAGUGUAGAGGUGAAAUUCGUAGAUAUUGGGAAGAACACCGAUGGCGAAGGCAGCCAUCUGGACCGACACUGACGCUGAGGCGCGAAAGCGUGGGGAGCAAACAGG